AGCGGCCGUACCAUGCUGAAUAUACCGGUUCUCGUUAGAUCACCGAAGUCAAGCAUCAUUGGGCGCGGUCGGUACUUGGGUGGCCGACCACCUGGGAACACCGCGUGCCGUU
rnacentral:rRNA from 1 species